UACGUAGGGUGCAAGCGUUGUCCGGAAUUAUUGGGCGUAAAGAGCUCGUAGGCGGCUUGUCGCGUCGACUGUGAAAUCCCAGGGCUCAACCCUGGGCCUGCAGUCGAUACGGGCAGACUAGAGUGCGGUAGGGGAGACUGGAAUUCCUGGUGUAGCGGUGAAAUGCGCAGAUAUCAGGAGGAACACCGGUGGCGAAGGCGGGUCUCUGGGCCGUAACUGACGCUGAGGAGCGAAAGCGUGGGGAGCGGACAGG
rnacentral:rRNA from 1 species